rnacentral:rRNA from 1 species
GACGAACGCUGGCGGCGUGCUUAACACAUGCAAGUCGAACGGAAAGGCCCUGCUUUUGUGGGGUGCUCGAGUGGCGAACGGGUGAGUAACACGUGAGUAACCUGCCCUUGACUUUGGGAUAACUUCAGGAAACUGGGGUUAUAACGGAAAGGGGGUCCCGCCGGAUGGGGGGGGUUGGGAAAGUUUCGGCGGUUGGGAAUGGACUCGCGGCUUAUCAGCUUGUGGGUGGGGUAGUGGCUUACCAAGGCUUUGACGGGUAGCCGGCCUGAGAGGGUGACCGGCCACAUUGGGACUGAGAUACGGCCCAGACUCCUACGGGAGGCAGCAGUGGGGAAUAUUGCACAAUGGGCGGAAGCCUGAUGCAGCAACGCCGCGUGCGGGAUGACGGCCUUCGGGUUGUAAACCGCUUUCGCCUGUGACGAAGCGUGAGUGACGGUAAUGGGUAAAGAAGCACCGGCUAACUACGUG